rnacentral:tRNA from 1 species
GGAGAGGUGGCUGAGUGGCCGAAGGCAGCGGUUUGCUAAACCGUCGUAGGUGUAACAACCUACCGGGGGUUCGAAUCCCCCCCUCUCCGCCA